ensembl:processed_transcript
UCCUGUGCUCCCCACAUACCACUAUAUUGAGCGGAAGACACUGCUUGUGAGCAAUCUGCACCCAAUGGUCACCGAACAACAGCUUAUUGAAAAGUUUGGUCCAUUGGGGUCCAUCUCGACUGUGCAAGUGUGCAGAAACAACAUCGUCUCUCCUGUGUAUGCCUUUGUGACUUUCCAUCAUCGACUCGAUGCAGUGCGAGCACAAAAAGCUCUGAACUUCACUCAUUUACUGAAUAAACCUCUGAUCAUCAUGUGGGGCCCAGACAAGACAACUGAGGUCCUCUCAGAUUAUGACAGCAGCUCUCAAAGACAAACAGAGGAGAGAGAGGCAGCUGGAGAAACAGAGGAGAAAAAGACCAGUGGAGAAACAGAGAGAGAAGCAGCUGGAGAAACAGAGGAGAGAGCGAACAGCGAGUCUUCAUGGAGAAGAAGGAUCUCCAACAAUGUGAAAAGUGCUGUGAAAGCCACGGUAAGCAGUCCAGCAACCUGGGUCGGAGUCGGCAUAGGUGUCUGUGCUGCUUAUGCCUACUUCAGGAGCAGGAGCUAGUGUGGACACAUUCUAAAAGACGAGAAGGCCUGCCUCACAAUCUCCACUCAUCAUCCCCAGAGUGACCAAUCACUGCUCCAGAAAGAACUUGAUUUCCCCAGCAGGCCAAACACUUGCAAUAAAUGUGAAUUGAAUAAA